rnacentral:rRNA from 1 species
AUUGAAAGCUAGCGGGAUGCUUUACACAUGCAAGUCGAACGAGUGGCGGACGGGUGAGUAAUAUAUCGGAACGUGCCCAGGAGCGGGGGAUAACUAAUCGAAAGCGUGGAUAAUACCGCAUACGAUUGGAGCGGCCGAUAGCGGAUUAGCUAGUUGGUGGGGGAAAGGCUCACAAAGGAAACGAUCCGUAGCUGGUUUGAGAGGACGACCAGCCACACUGGGACUGAGACACGGCCCAGACUCCUACGGGAGGCAGCAGUGGGGAAUUUUGGACAAUGGGGGAAACCCUGAGCCAGCCAUCCCGCGUGUAUGAGAAGGCCUUCGGGUUGUAAAGUACUUUUGGCAGAGAAGCGGUAUCUGCAGAAUACGCACCGGCUAACUACGUGCCAGCCGCCGCGGUAAUUC